rnacentral:lncRNA from 1 species
UCAACAACAGAUCGAGUACAAGAAUUUACCCAGGAUAUUAAAUUCUAUAAGUACACAAUUAACGGGGCACAAACAGUGCCAACAACAAAGAGCAAGUAAUCCACAAGAUACACAAGUGAAAUAAAGAGAGAACUUACUACCUAUUACAUCGCAUUUGCAUUUUGUAUACAAUUACAUUCUUUUCCUCAAAAUGAAUACAUAUUUUCAUCAAAUACAUAGCUCUCCAAAAUCCUCACCUACAUGAUACUCUCUCAAAUACAUAGGUGUGCUAAUGCGAAAGGAAAGCUACUACUCUACCAAAAAUCCUCACUGGUCGGGCGCGAUGCCCUUGCCGCGGUCCUCGCCCAGCAAAUCUGUACCUAGCCCUGGAAAUAGAGUGGGGUGAGAAUUAUCUUCCAUAGUUCACAGUAGGGCCACCGAUUCUGCCGAUCUCCCCACUAGGUCCAAGUGGGCACAAUAGGGCCACCGAUUCUGCCGAUCUCCCCACUAGGUCCAAGUGGGCACAAGUAACAACGAUAUAUAUAUAUAUAUAUAUAUAUAUAUAUAUAUAUAUAUAUAUAUAUAUAUAUAUAUAUAUAUAUANAAUUCGUACAUACACGAUCAACAGGACACAAAUAGUGCCAACAACGAAGAGCAAGUAAUCCACAAGAUACACAAGUGAAAUAAAGAGAGAACUACUAACUAUUACAUCACAUUUGCAUUCUUUAUACAAUUACAUUUUCUUUCCCAAAAUGAAUACAUGCUCAUCAAGUACAUAGCUCUCCAAAGUCCUCACCUACAUAAAUCUCUCUCAAAUACAUAGGUGUGCUAAUGCAAAAGGAAAGCU